ACAUGUGUAUGUGAUUGUCUCAUGAUUAAUUGGGAAGAAUUUUGUCAUUUUUACUGAAGUCACUUGUACAGAGAUGCCAAAGGAUGUUUGUGAUCUCUUGUUUAUUUAUUGGCGGCCUUGGUCACGGUGAGAAGAAAUGUUCUCAGAGUAUUUUGUGUAUUGCAAAAGGGAGGUGCCAUUUUCAUAAUGAAAAAUUAACAACAUAUCCAUCAAAUUAGUCAGAAGAGAAAUAAUGCAUUGUUUUUUACUUGCAGAAAAAUUAGACACUAUGUGUCCAUUAUCAGAGUGUGCAAUGGCAACAAUAAGGCUGAGAAAAUAUCCGAAUGUGUUCAGUCUGACAGUCAUACAGAUAAUCAGACAGGCAAACAUAAAGACAGGAGAAAAGGCUCACUAGACGUCAAAGCUGUUGCCUCCCGUGCAACUGAAGUUUCCAGCCAGAGACGACACUCUUCCAUGGCCCGGAUACAUUCCAUGACAAUUGAGGCGCCCAUCACCAAGGUAAUCAAUAUUAUCAAUGCUGCCCAGGAAAGUAGUCCCAUGCCUGUGACAGAAGCCCUAGACCGUGUGCUGGAAAUUCUGAGA
rnacentral:sRNA from 1 species